UUUCCCAUUGGGUUUUCCUAGAAAGGUUUUUAACGAGGCAACAAAGACGUUAAGCGAGAGUGAAUAGUGACACCGGCCCCCAAGGGGGAGUGUUAUGAAAGUCAUAUCGAGACAGCACCGAAUAUGUUGAAAAUAUAAAGGAUGUGGGGUCCGCUGCAUUAUUUACACAGUAAAUUUCUUUUCUAUAUAUAUGAUCGAUUUCGAUCAUUUGUAAGAUCAUCAUUCACUCUUCUCUUCUCUCUAAUAAUAAUCUUUCUAUCAGUAUUAAAAAUUCCACGGGUAUAAAAUUUUGUCCUUAUUUAAAUUCCUGCGAUACAAUAAAAUUCCAGUUCUAUUUAUAACAGUAUAUAACGCCUCUUGAAUUAUAAUAGAGAAGUUGAUAAAUUGAUACUUGGUUACUAGACUCCCAAAGCAAACACAGUACCUACUAACAUAAAGACACAGAAAAAGUCAUGUUCUAUUCCGGCAGUUUAUGUUUCGUUGAUCUUUCGAUUUUUGCGCUGGCAUUUGAGUUGUCUCCCCAAAAUGUUAUAAACUCCUUGUGAUAUUUUAGUUAAAAGUCUACUUAAAAUCAGAGCAAUAAGAAGAAACAAAUAAUUAGUGACCAAUAUUCAGUCGAUGAUAUAGUGAUAUUCAAUUUCUGGUACCUUAAUAUCAAAAUUUUCCAUGUUCUCGGACAUGAGACUUUUCUUUCAUUACAUAUUGGAUUUUGAGACCGGUCUCACCUAUAUUUCCAUAUAGACCAUUGUCAAACGAAUCUUCAUUGAUAGACACGCUGAAAGGUCUUAUUGUUUCUCCUUUAGGUUGCUGCAAAGUUUAAAUACGAUGGUGAAAUCAUAUGGAUAAUUUUCAUAUACAAAUUAAACUUAUACAAGGAAUUCUUUAAAAGACAAGUUUUCGAAUAGCCAUGUAAAUGUGCCAGUUAAAAUGCAAAUAAAAGAAACCCCUAAAAAACACAGGAGUCCAAAUUGAUAACGAGAGAUGAAACAUAUAUUAAGAUAAUUACUUAACUUCUAAAAUGUUUUAAACAAAACUUCUAGAAUGUUGAUCGUCUAUAUAUGAUAUGUCUUCUCUUAAUUCAGAUACAUAAAUGGAAAUCAUUACGAGCCGUUUCAUUUCAAUCAAACCUGAAGUUUUCAAAGUUUAGGUUUCAAUCAUGGUUGAACAAAAAAAUAAGUUUUCAGUCAUAAAGGAUAGAAAGGUACAUGGUUACUUCCUGGGAAAUUCAUUGACCUUUCUUCUUUGAGAAGCUCAAUGAAUAUUGUGGAUUAAAGAUCCCAUUUCUGGAAUGAAUUAAGAUGAUAUAACUAGAAUGCUAUACUGAAACUGAUAUAAGAGACACAUGAAUAAAAAUAUGUAUUUAUGGAAAUAUUGUAUGACUGCAUAGGAUAGUAGUGCAAAUCUGUUGCUAUGGGUUUAUUUGCAAAAACGACUGAUCUCAUAUUGAUCUCUUUUUCAUGUAAAAGUAUCAUUAAUUAUUGUUAAUAAGAAAGUUAAUAUGCGGCUAAUCAUAUUUGGAUUCUUUAAUAGUACUAGAUCCGUGUCCGCGCUACGCGCGGAUUCUAUAUUAUAAAAAAUUUAACUUUUAAAUUAUUUUGAAUAUUUAAAAUUAUUUUGAAUUAAACUAGAGCAAAAAAAGCUUGGAAUGUUUAAAACAAUAAUGCAGGUGAUUAUAGAUAAAAUAUUUCAUUAAAAUUUUUAAAGGGAAAUUUUCAUAUUUACCAACUCGUACAUUAUUCAUGUUUACCGCUAAAAAAAACAUUUUAAAAAAAGAAAUUUUCCAUGUUUACCCUCUUCGUUAAGAAGCAAAAGACCUUGCUUUUUAUAUAUAAUAAAUAAUUAUUUAAAUAAAUAAAAAAUUAUAUUUUUGAAUUAUACUUUUUCAAAUUCGAACUUUCUAAUAAUUUUUUUUCUGAAUUUGUUUUUUAAUUAUCUUUUGAAAAUUGAAAAUUCUUUUGGAAACUACAUUUUAAUUUUCUAAAUAAUUAUUCAUUUAUAUAUUUAUUCGAAUCCUAAAUUCCAUAUUCAAAAAACCCAGUAUUAGGAAUGUGGUAUUUUUGGUAUUUCCCUUUUUAAAACAUUGUUAUAUUGAUAGAUUUUGUAUUUCAAAAUUUUAUUUUUUUGUUUAAUAAUUAUAUGUUUUUAUUGUUUUAUUUUCAAUAUUUUCUCCAUGUAUCUUCUUUUCUCUUUCAAUUUUAUCAGGUUAAUUAUAUUGACAACUUUUAUUUUAUUUUGAUAUAUUCAAUUUCCGUAUGUUUGACAUAAUCUAUGAUUCAUUUAAAAAUAUUUCAUGUUAUUUCUUCAAAAAUUUAGCAUAGAUAUCAACUAAUUUUAGAUAGUAUUUUCCUUUUCUAAUUUAUUUUUACAUUGGUUUUUUCUUUUUGAUAAACAUGAUUAUUUAAAGGAAAAAUUAGAAAAAUGAGACACUUUGAACUUUGGUUUGUCACAAUAGGAUUUGUAGAAGAUGUUUUAGGAAAUUAUGAUUUUAAUUCCUGUAAAUACCAUACUACCCUUAAUUUUGAAUUAUUAUUAUAAAUUGUAAUUUUCGUAAUUGAUUUUAAAUGUUAAAAUAUUAAAAAGUUAAAAAUAACAAAAUUUUAAAAUAGACAAAAGGGAGACGUGGCCACCCUUAUACCCUAAUUUAUUUUUCUUCUUGUCUUCUCCGCCGCAAAGUCAUGGCUCUCUUCCAUGGCAAUUUAGGGUUCAAUGGAGAGAACCCAUGUUCUUCGUCAGUGUUUCAUCUGCCCGUAAUCUCUAAUCUUGUCUCUGUAAACACAACAAUUGGUUCCUGGAAUGUGGCAAACCACGCCUAUUGUUACACAUGUAAGUCCCAUCACGCGUUGGUUCUCCGACCAUAUAAACAUCGUCAAACUGAUUCUCUUGUGUUUUGUCUUCUGCUUUCUUUCUGCUGUGUCUAUUGUUCGGUUUUAUGCAUGAUAAAACCUGGUUUAUAUACUUGUUGUUCUCACUUUUUAUGGUUUAUUGUUGCUCAUCAGGUUGCUGAUUAUCUGAAUACUACAAAAGAAUCCCUUCUGAUGAAGAUGGCGUGGGAGAUGAUGAACCCUGAGUACAAAAAGGUAUUUUUGCUUUCAUCCUGUCUUUGAUUUUCUUGAAUUCUGCUAACUGUUAUGUUGACGUUCUUGUUAAUGAUACUUACAUUUUCUAUCGAUUAUGAGGGAAUGCAUAGGAAACCUACAGCAGUGAAAAAGAAAGAUCCUAUUAGUAAGACUGCUGCUCCUCCUAGUAAGAAAACUUCUGCAACCACAAGCCUAAGCAAUGCAGAAAGCGAAAAGAAAAAGAGACUUAGUGCAUAUAUCAAUUUGGAUGUCUUGGAUAAGCUAUUUGAUGAUGAGAACUCUCCAAAGAUGACUAAGUUGGAGAAUCAGUUGUUGUUGGUGACCAAGUGAAAAAUUCACAGCAAAGCAGCGAAGAAGAAUGCCUUUUGGAACCUGAGGGUUCUGAAGAAGAUGCACCAGAAGAAGAUAAACCAGUCUGGAACAAGGAUUAUAGUAUUGAAGAAGCUAAUGGAGGAGAGGAUGAAUUAUAUGGCGGAGCUGAUCUUGAAUAUGAAAAUCAAGAUGAAGCAGAAUAUAACGAAGAUAUUAUUCGGUGAUCUCAUUUUACAUUGUGAAUUGAUCUCAACAACAUUGAUUAUUAUUACUUUUUUGACAAAAAUCACUGAAAUUACAUUCAUCAUCUUUCCCAAUCUAAUAAAUGAAAGCCUUCCACAUUGUUCAAAAGAGUGCAUCUCUAUUUUGUUUUCCUCUGCAGAUAGAGUAGUAGUUUCUAAUGGACUAGUAGUUUCUAAUGUUACCAUUCGACCUUUUGUCUACUACGAAACUCCACUCUUCACUGCAACUAGACAUUCAUUCACCAGAUUAAACAUAGAUUAGAACCAUGUUGUAUUGAUAGAGAGAAUAGAUGAUUAUGUGGAUGAAGAAGAGAGAACACACAAAAAACGAAGAGAAAAAGAUCGUGGGAGAAGGAGAAAAACGUGGGAGAAACUAUUCUAUGAGAUAUUUAGAGAAGAUUUAGCUUAGAUUUAGGAAACAUCUUUAACCGAAUAUGGAAGUUUCCAUAUUUUCCGGAUUUUCCGUAGAAUAUAUAUCCUAGCUAACUCAGAACACAGUAGAGUAGAUGUGAAACAUAUUCUUCCUUAAGCGCCACAUAAGGUAAAAGGCAGAACAUGUUAUGGCACAAAAUAUAGAUAAGGUAUAUCACUGCGUUGUGGUUAUAUGUAGUUAUCAAGCUUUAGGUAUACCGAAGACAUCUUUCUUGAUUAUAAUGUUUUGAAAUACAGCUUUGUUAGAAUAUAUAUGAAAUACAGCUUUGUUAGAAUAUAUAUGAAACUCUCUUUCAGGGUCUUGAUAUCUUCCAAAUAAAUUACAAAAGCUGGUCAUUCUUCUGGUUCCGAAACCAUCUUCACCAAUUGAGAACAAUCUGUUGCAAACGUAACCUGAAAUUGACGUAAGUUCCUCAUGCAUUCCAUUGCCCAUAAAAGUGCUUCCAUCUCCGCAUGAAGAGGCGAAAGACUAGCCCUUACAUUCCUCGCCCCCAGUAAUCCAUCGAAACCUUCCAAAGUACUAAGCCAACCUUGUCCUGAAAACUUAGCACCCUCCUUCCACGAGCCAUCCGUAAAACACCAUCUUCCUGGGAUCGACGGCAAUACCGUGUCUAUUCUUGGUGUUGGCGUCCUCUGGUCAUUUACUACUUGUGCCUCAGCCCAUAAUGUUGAUUCUGUUUCCGCCAAUUUAAUCAUAUCCAUAGGAUCUAUAUCCAAGUUGCUGAAAACUUUAUUAUUCCUACAUUUCCAGAUAUACCAUAGAAUCCAUGCAAACUGGUGAUCCUCCAUCUGCGGGAAAACUCUCCAGAAUAGAUGAUCCAUAUUUGUAAAUAGGGAACUUGUUGGAAAAAAACUAUUAGCUAACCAUUUUCAUGUUUCUUUUUCAAAGAGCUUCCAUAUCAAGUUAAAUUUCUUAUUGAUGUUUUUUAUUUGUUAUUUUUUCUAAUUUAGUUUGGGAGUAUGAUUCUCAUGUAAUCUACCGUAAAAUAAAACUUGUUAACAUUGUUUUGUUGGACUCUUUUGAAGUUAGUUUCGAUAAGUUAGUAUAUAUAUCUAUUAAUUUUUUAGAUUUUUUUUAGCAAAAAAAUAAAAACUUUUAGAUAUUUUUCUUUUUAUAUCUUUGGUAGCUUAUUUUGAGAAUUUUUUUUUAAAUAUCAUUAAUUAGAUACUACUUUUAAAGAUGAUUUUGUCAAUGAAUCAUAUUGUGAGAAUGGUAGACUUGAACAUGUCUUUGCUUGAGUUGUUGCAUAGAAGUUGGUGAGACUGUAUAAGGAGUUUGGUUUCAGGCACGUGAGUAACAGUUGCCUUUCAAGACAUGGACAAUGUUUGGGGUGGAAACUACUUUAGUUGUUAAUGUGUUUAUUAUUUAGAGAAGGGAUGAAAGAGAGAAGUUGCAUACAUGUUUGUUGUUGCUGAUAUUAUUAGAGCAAGAUGAGUAAACCACUUUUGUUUGAUUCUGCACUUUCCAUAAAUAGAUGAUUCCCAAAUCCAGUUUUUCAUUGCAUUAGUCUGAUUUGACACCAUUGAAAAAAAUUGUUUGCCUCUUGAUCUCACCUAAAAAGAAUCCACAAAACCUUAUUUGAGUCGUCAUUUCCUUUGGCAUCUUCAUACGAGUGCGGAUACUGUAAGCAUAUAAUAAAACAUCAAAACAACUAUAACAGAUACAUAUCAUUAGCAACAUGAGACAAACUACUUUAAACACUUUAAAAUUAACCUGCGAUUUAUAAUUCACAAUGCAUUAUCGUAAGAGCCAGCUCUUUGUUCUUAAAGGUAAAAUAAAAUGCAACUUUAUUUCAGAAUAAAAUAUGUUGUUAUAGUGUUUUUGAUUAUCAAAAGUUAUGUCAUUUCUCUUACUAUAUGGGGCUUGUAGUCGAAGAAAAUCAUGUAAGUAACUACCACCCAUUUGCUUGACAUUCGUGCUUCUUGUAUGUAAGGCAUCGUCAAUCUCGUAAUAAUCAACGAAAGCUGUCUCCUUUGUUUCCAGAAAAACCUAAAUCCUCGAUUUCUAAAUUUACUAAACUAUACCUUCAGGUCAUCAUUUGAGACACUCAGGCUUGUUUUGUCCACUCAGAGACUCUUGCAAGGUUUUGCCUGCAAAAACAAAAGGUCCAUCAGAAAGUGUCACGAUAAUAUCAUUACCAAGAAUAGAGUCAUGAUAACAUAUCAAGCAUCUAAAGGAAUUUAAAUACAUACCAAAAAUCAUUUGAAGAACAUUCUCACUAAUUCAUAUCAAUUGCAAUUAAGGGGAACAAAUUUAUUGGUUUGAGAAUAUGAGGCUGUACCUUAUCUUCAAGGAAGAGCAGCUCAACGCCAAUGAACGUCC